rnacentral:rRNA from 1 species
CCCUAUACAUGCAAGUCGAGCGGACCGACGGGAGCUUGCUCCCUGAUGUUAGCGGCGGACGGGUGAGUAACACGUGGGUAACCUGCCUGUAAGACUGGGAUAACUCCGGGAAACCGGGGCUAAUACCGGAUGCUUGAUUGAACCGCAUGGUUCAAUUAUAAAAGGUGGCUUUUAGCUACCACUUACAGAUGGACCCGCGGCGCAUUAGCUAGUUGGUGAGGUAACGGCUCACCAAGGCAACGAUGCGUAGCCGACCUGAGAGGGUGAUCGGCCACACUGGGACUGAGACACGGCCCAGACUCCUACGGGAGGCAGCAGUAGGGAAUCUUCCGCAAUGGACGAAAGUCUGACGGAGCAACGCCGCGUGAGUGAUGAAGGUUUUCGGAUCGUAAAACUCUGUUGUUAGGGAAGAACAAGUACCGUUCGAAUAGGGCGGUACCUUGACGGUACCUAACCAGAAAGCCACGGCUAACUACGUGCCAGCAGCCGCGGUAAUACGUAGGUGGCAAGCGUUGUCCGGAAUUAUUGGGCGUAAAGCGCGCGCAGGCGGUUUCUUAAGUCUGAUGUGAAAGCCCCCGGCUCAACCGGGGAGGGUCAUUGGAAACUGGGGAACUUGAGUGCAGAAGAGGAGAGUGGAAUUCCACGUGUAGCGGUGAAAUGCGUAGAGAUGUGGAGGAACACCAGUGGCGAAGGCGACUCUCUGGUCUGUAACUGACGCUGAGGCGCGAAAGCGUGGGGAGCGAACAGGAUUAGU